GCGGUACGGAGCGCCAUGACGUCGGAGGAACAGAAGAUCAAAGAUUCCAGGAGAGGUCCCCUGGCACCUUUUCGAAACCAAAAAUCUGAAGCAAGAGAACCUCCAAAAACUCCACCCUCGUCUUGUGAUUCCGCCAAUGCAGCCGUGGCCAAGCAAGCCCUGAAAAAGCCCAUCAGGGUCAAACAGUCACCCCUGAAAAAAAGCCCAAGGAAAAACGCAACAGAAUCACAAACUUACGGAUUUCUACCCUGUCUGAAGGAGCUCCAGGAAGAGCAAAGCUGAACUGCAGUCUGAAGAAAGGAAAAGAAUAGAUGAAUUGAUUGAAAGUGGGAAGGAAGAAGGAAUGAAGAUUGACCUCAUCGGUGGCAAAGGCAGGGGUGUGAUUGCCACCAAGUAGUUCUCCCGGGGUGACUUUGUGGUGGAAGACCACGGGGACCUCAUUGAGAUCGCAGGCGCCAAGAAGCGGGAGGCUCUGUACACACAGGACCCUUCCACGGGCUGCUACAUGUACUAUUUUCAGUAUCUGAGCAAAGCCUACUGCGUGGAUGCAACUAGAGAGACAAAUCGCCUAGGAAGGCUGAUCAAUCACAGCAAAGGUGGGAACUGCCAAACCAAACUGCACGACAUCGAUGGUGUGCCUCACCUCAAUCUCAUCGCCUCCCGAGACAUCGCGGCUGGGGAGGAGCUCCUGUAUGGCUAUGGGGACCGCAGCAAGGCUUCCACUGAAGCCCACCCAUGGCUGAAGCAUUAACCCGCCGGCCCUGUGCCCUCCCACCCCACCUUGCCUUCUUCAAAGGACAAAGUGCCCUCAAAGGGAAUUGACUUUUUUUUUUACACACUUAAUCUUAGCAGAUUACUUCAGAUGUUUUUAAAAAGUAUAUUAAGAUGCCUUUUCACUGUAGUAUUUAAAUAUCUGUUACAGGUUUCCAAGGUGGACUUGAACAGAUGGCCUUAUAUUACCAAAACUUUGAUAUUCUAGUUGUUUUUGUACUUUUUUUGCAUACAAGUCAAAUGUUUGUGCUUCCCGUUCAUGCAGUCCAAGACUCAGCACAGGUUUUAGAGGAAAGAGUCAAACAUGAACUAGAAAGCCAGGCGAGUCUCCUUUCUCCAGUGGAAGAGCCGGGACCUUCCCCCUGCACCCCGAGGGCACCCCGAGGAAGACGCUGCCUCCCACUGGCCUGGACGGGAUGUUUCCAAUCUCUUGUUCUAACAUCUGGACAGGUGCUCAUUGGAGUGUAUGAAUAUUUUUUAAAAGGUUUUGCAGUAAGCUAGUCUUCCCCUCUGCUUUCUUGAAAGCUUCCUGAGCCCCAGGCCCUGAGCACAGGCCAGGCAUGGAUUUCCUCUUCCAUAAGCUGCCGCUUUUCCGCGCAGCUUGAAGCAUCAGGGCGUGAAAUCAAACUAGAUGUGGGCAGGGAGAGUGUUGCUUACCUGCCCUGCCGGGGCAGGGUUUCCUGAAACUGGGUUAAUUCUUUGUAGAAAUGUGAACACUGAAUUUAUUUAAAAAAAAAAAUUUUUUUUAAUCAGAAAAAAGAUUAAAAAAAAAAA